GAUAGAACUUGCAAGAUGGCCUCGUACUGAGAAAUCUGUGUAUUCGUGUAUUCAUCACAAGUUGCAAUCAUUGUAAUCAUUUAGAUUAUUGGAAUUGCUGUGUGUAGUGAUUUUGUGUUGCAUCUAUUAAUUAUCCACUAAACUUAAUCAUGGGCACAUCAGAUUUGGAAGGUCUCGAAUGCAAGAGAGAAUCUUUAGGAUUAGAUUCUGAUACAGAUGGAGUGUCUGAUCAAAGAAAAAAAAAGAAAAGAAAACACAAGCAUCAUAAGCAUAAGAAAGAAAAAUUAAUUGAAAGAGAAGACGAACGAUUAGACAGGCAAGAAAAGCGAAAGCAUAAGAAACAUAAAAGACAGAGGAAAGAAAGGGAUAUGGAAAAUGGUACCAUGGAUGAGAAAUUAAUCGCAAAUGUGGUACAUAAAGAAGUCGAUAUGAAUGGAAAAACAAAAAAUUCUGUAUUAGAAGUUGUUUCUACGGAAGAAAGUGAAGAUGAAAAAUUAGUUGAUCUAGAUUCUGAUGAAGUAGAUUGUACAAUCAUAGAAGAUGAUAUUGAUCUUGAAGAGUUAAUGAAACAAAAGGAACGAUUACAAGCAUGUUUAGUACAAUAUCUCUCAGAUGAAUCGGAGAAAGGAGAAGACAAGGAACUACAAGAAGAGGAAGAAGUCAAAACAGCGGUAGAAACACCUGAUGUGAUACUAGUGGAAGACGAUAGUGACACCAAUGAUGUACCAUUGAAGAAACAAACUAGAAGCAAAUCAGGUAGCAGAGAAUGUAAGAAAAUAAUAAAGACCGAAAGACGUGUUAUAGUUGAUAUGACUAGAGACAGGAAAACUCGUGAACAACACAAAGAUAAGAGAAGAGAUUUUGAUAGGAAAAGAGAUGAGAAAAUCCGAUCUAGAGAGGAAGGAAAAAGAGAAGAGAAUCGAAAAGACGAUAGAUCUCGAAAAGCCAGUGAAAGACAAAAGGAGGAUACAAGAAAAGAUGAAUUGAAUAGAAAAACAGAUGAUGAACAAAAACGUAAAGAUCUUAUACGAAAAGAUGAAACACGAAAAAGAGAAUCAGAUAGACGAGAAGAGAAUCGAAGACGAGAGCCGAUUCGUCAUAGUCCAAAAACCCGUAAUGAGGCAAAGAAUUCAGAUAAUAAAGGUCGUGACAGGUUGGGAAGUCGUGAGCGUCAAGACAGCCGAGAUCGCCACAUUAGUCAUGAUCGACGCAGUCGCGACAGACCAUCGAGCAGGGAACCUCGUCGUCAUGCUAGUCGCGACAAGAGAGACAGUAGAAGUAAGGAUCGACAUGGAAAUAGAGAUCGACACGACAGUAGUCGUGAUCGACGAGAUAAUCGGUAUCAUGACCAUCGAAUUGAAGACCGAUCUCGCAGCACCGCAAGAAGAUCACGCAGUCUUACACGAAUCAGGUCGGAAAGAGAACGAAACGAUCGAUAUAAAAGAUCUAGAUCACCCUCUCGAAAUCGCAGAGAUCGGGAUAAGCAGCAAACCAGGGACCAUGUCAGAGAUCGCGAGAGAGAUAGAGAAAAAAACAGCAAAAGAGAACGUAGCGAUAAAUAUAAGGAUUCUUUAUCGGAAGGUCUUAAAGUAGAACAUUCGGAGAGCUCGAGCGAAGAGGAUAUCAAAGACAUCGAUAUCGAAGAAGAAGAAGAUGAAGAAGCAAUUAUAGAACGUCGACGAAAACAAAGAGAAGAAUUGCUCAAAAGAUUAGGUGGACCAAAUGAAGACUCCAAUAUGUCUGCCGACAUAAAUGUUCCUGGUUCUCCGGAAAGCCAAUCUAAUAUAUCACAAAAAUCUAUAGAAGCUCCAUCCAAUAACAAUGAAUCUAUUUUGGAAAGUCAUACUCCACCACUGCCCACAGAAAAAUUAGAGUCUCCACCUCCAGCCAAGAAAAGAAAAUCUAGAUUUGAGGACGCGCCACCAAAUGAAUCUGACAAAACCGGGAACAUUAAGAUGUCCGAGAGAUUUAAACAGGAGGAAAAACAAACUUCAAAGAAAUCGAACGAAUGGGACAUGUUUGCAGAAGCAGAUAAUAUCGGAGAUUUUAAUAGCCCCACACUUGAAGGAAAGCGUCAGGGAGGACCAGAUAAUCCUAGUUUAACGGAUAAUUGGGAUGACGCUGAAGGAUAUUAUCGCGUACGUGUCGGCGAAACACUAGAUGCGCGAUAUGUAGUCUAUGGAUAUACAGGACAAGGGGUAUUUAGUAAUGUUGUAAGAGCAAGAGAUAGCGCUAGAGGAAAUUUGGAUGUAGCUGUAAAGAUAAUAAGGAACAAUGAAAUAAUGCAUAGAACCGGUUUGAAGGAGCUAGAAAUCCUUAGGAAGUUAAAUGACGCUGAUCCGGAGGAUAGAUUUCAUUGCUUGCGUUUAUUUAGGCAUUUCUUUCAUAAAAAUCACUUGUGCAUGGUUUUCGAACCUUUAGCCAUGAAUUUAAGAGAAGUUUUAAAAAAGUAUGGCAAAGACGUUGGUUUACACGUUAAAGCGGUAAGAUCGUAUACGCAGCAACUUUUUCUAGCACUAAAGUUAUUAAAACGUGCAAAUAUUCUACAUGCUGACAUCAAACCGGAUAAUAUUCUAGUCAGUGAAAGCAAGUUAGUACUAAAACUCUGUGAUUUUGGUUCCGCAUCGCACGCCCAUGAAAAUGAAAUAACACCGUACUUAGUUUCAAGAUUUUAUCGUGCGCCUGAAAUUAUUCUUGGUAUACCAUAUGAUUUUGGCAUUGACAUGUGGUCCGUGGGAUGCACCAUAUACGAACUAUACACCGGAAAAAUAAUGUUCUCGGGGAAAACGAACAACCAAAUGUUAAAGUACUUCAUGGAUCUGAAAGGCAAAAUGCCGAACAAACUAAUUAGGAAAGGCACAUUCAAGGAUCAACAUUUUGACAGUAACUGCAAUUUCCUGUAUCACGAGGUUGAUAAAGUUACGGAACGGGAAAAGGUCGUCGUAAUGUCGACACUGCCAGCGACUCGCGAUCUCAGUGCAGAACUCGGUGGGAAUUCAUUACCACCAGAACAAAGUCGCAAAGUCGGACAAUUAAAGGAUUUAUUGGAACGAACUCUGAUGCUGGACGCGGGAAAGAGAAUCACUGUGAAUCAUGCCCUGGCGCAUCCCUUUAUACAAGAAAAAAUAUAGGUAACCCUGUCCGGGGUCCUUUAGCAUCGAAGAAUUCACUGACGUAACUUUGUAAAAUGCCGUUAACAAUCCUCCCUAUCAAUGUUAAACGUUCCGGAUUACGUGGUAGGAGCGCGAUGUGUCUUCAAUUCAAAUCAUCGUUAAGUGCGGUCGGACCUUUAGCGAGGGCCUUUAGCGCCGAUCCCGUUACAAGCCCUCCCUGUGAGGAGGGGAGGCAAUGGAAGAGGUGAUGAAAACAAUUGAUGAGGAGGAAAGGAAAAUGUGCGAUAAUACUCUUGCUACCCUACAUCGUGCCUACUACAUUAAAGUACAUGAACUGUCGCUAAAGAAUUCAACAAGGUUUAGACAACGGUUUAACUAGAUUUAUAUCCGUGCACACUAAGGUUUCUCUUAAAAUUACGUGAGAUCGCAAUCGAGGACUCGUAAGUAUAUACACAGGUAAAGUACACGAUUAUAAAGAUUUUAAGCGAAACUUUCAACUAUAAUCCAACAAACAUUAUUAACAUUUAUACCUCUAUUUUUUCAAAAUUGUUUUAAUCGAAAAUUAAAUUUUUAAGCAAAAAGGCGUUAAACAUUUAUAUAAUACUAAUAUUUGUGGUUUUGAGUUUUCAGAUAUUUAAAGUCUACGCUCUAUGAAAAAGCAAAACAGAUGCGAUAAAUCCAUUGUUCUAAAAAAACUCGCUCUACUUCCGUCCCUCUUUUCCUCUCUUUUUCUUUUUCUCUUUUCUUUUCUCUUUUCAUAAGUGUU
rnacentral:misc_RNA from 1 species